CCUAGCAGGUCUCAGGGCCUCCAAGAUGCAGGCAGAGAUGUCCAGGUAGGAUUUCCCAUGGCUUGCCUGGGCUUUUGUUCUGCUAUGAUGCAGCAAGAGGUCAGAACCAGAUGCUGAGAGGGGAAACACCACAGGGCUGGUGUUCAGCAACAAGGCACGCGCUUCUCCUCCCUGCUCCUGCCCUUAGCAGUACAGCUGUCACUGCAGCUUUGGAAAUGCCUCUGCAGACCACAAACCACUGCACUUGCACAAGGGACCUGCAUCCCCCUUCCCUUACAUCACGCCUGCAAGCUUUGCUGCCAAAAAAACUUUCAAAUUCCCAUUUGCACACUGGAGGCCAGGGGUUUCUCUCCUCCAGGCUCUGCCCCCGAAGCCGGGGCUAAAAGGGAGGAAGAUACAGCACAGAUAGGGCCGCAGAUCCAGGCAGAGAGCGUGGCAUUACCAUGGGGAAAAAGGCCGCCUUUGAGUCCUGAACUGAGAAAAAUGGAGCUGGGAGGCACCAAAAGAGACUAAAGGGGGUAUCACUGCUAAAGAUGGCCUGGACAUUACAUCUGCACAGCAAUGGGAGGACACCACGAGAGCCCAGCUCUGUGAACCCUCAGUGUCACCUACCAACCACAAGUGAGCCUCUGCAUGACAGCAAGACCCCAAAACCAAUAGCAGUGGGCAAGGCUUUUGUGGUGACUUGCAAGAGAAGUCAAUGUCAGAAGGAAUGUAAUGAAAUAUUCAUUCCUUCUGUUAAGGAAAUUCAGAGAAAGGCAGGAAGAAGGAACCAAAUGUGAGAUCAAGACAGGAAGAUGUGUCCUGCUCAUUUCAUUUGCAUUUCUGUAGCCCAGAGCAGGGAGAGGAGAGCUCUGGCUCCUCACCAUCGGGCAGAAUGAUUAGACAGCAGCAGAAGGAAAGUCCCAAAGAGCAUGAAGAGACAAGAAACUCCUCCUGAACCUGCAAGGGAGAAAAAUGUGGGUUUAUCUGAAUUUCAGCAAAGGGAGAACAUUUCGACAAGAAAUAUGUCUUUAUUGUCUCUCACAUAUGAGGGCACAGAAGCAGGCAAGAAGCCUGUCUGCUGAUUUUCCCCUGAAGUCCUGCUGCCCACUCUGGCAGCCCCAUCUCACCGCCUGCCCAGUGCUUCCCAUCAUCGAGCAGGAGCUGCCUUCUGAGCCCAGCACCAACAAAAUCAGCUUGGAGGAGGCACAUCCUUGUUCCCCCUCGAGGCGGCAGGACACUGGCGAUGCUGGAGGCAAUGCCCACCUCAGUUCCUUCGCCUCGCUCCAUGCGAUUGCCGAGCGGCACUGGCCGGCUGAAUUAAUGCUCGAGUGUUCCCCAUCAAAAAUGUUCUACGGGAGUGCAAAGCACUAAUAAAAUUGUUCCCCAUAUGGGAUUUUCAG
rnacentral:lncRNA from 1 species